ensembl:lncRNA
AAAACUCAGACUUGUCUGACUCUGACCCAGAGAUUGUUAUUAAAAGGCCCUCUGAGUUUGAUCUUGCUGAUACACUGCCAUUGGAACUUCAACAUGAAAGCAGUCCUUUACAGAAAGCGGCAGAAUAUGAGAAGGGUGCUGGGGAUCUUGUGCUUGCUAAUGAAGUACAACAGACACACCAAUUUGCAGGCACAUGGAAUUAUUGCAAAUUUGGCACUGGAACUUGACCACAAGAAGGUCAGCAGGUUCAAUAUAUCAAGGUCAGCUGUAUGGGAUGGAGCUGUUAGAGGAUUUCGACACAGCACAUACUCUGACAACUACGACAUGUUCAUCAAGUUUAAUGAUGAUGCUGGCAGCUUUGAAGAAGGUUUGGAUACAGGUGGCCCGAGGCGUGAAUUCCUCACACUUCUUAUGGGCAGUCU